rnacentral:rRNA from 1 species
UACGUAGGGUGCGAGCGUUAAUCGGAAUUACUGGGCGUAAAGCGUGCGCAGGCGGUUUUGUAAGCCAGAUGUGAAAGCCCCGGGCUUAACCUGGGAAUGGCAUUUGGGACUGCAAGGCUUGAGUGCGGCAGCGGAGACUGGAAUUCCUGGUGUAGCAGUGAAAUGCGUAGAUAUCAGGAGGAAUACCGAUGGCGAAGGCAGGUCUCUGGGCUGACACUGACGCUCAUGCACGAAAGCGUGGGGAGCAAACAGG